UUAACUACCGAGCUAGAGGCCGAGGGAGGUGAAUUCCGCGUGUAGCAGAAAUGCGUAGAUAUGCGGAGGAACACCGAUGGCGAAGGCAGCCUCUGGGAUAACACUGACGUCAUGCACGAAAGCGUGGGGAGCAAACAGGAUUAGAUACCUGGUAGUCCACGUUCUAAACGAUGUCAACUAGCUGUUGGGGCUCGGGCCUUGGUGAAGGGCAGCUGACUGGCAGGAAGUUGACCGCUCAGAGACACGUAAGAUUAAACUCAAAGGAAUUGACGGGGACUCGUACAAGCGGUGGAUGAUGUGGAUUAAUCUGAUGCAACGCGAAAAACCUUACCUACCCCUUGACAUGUCUGGAAUCCCGAAGAGAUUUGGGAGUGCUCGCAAGAGAACCCGGAACACAGGCGCUGCAUGGCUGUCGUCAGCUCGUGUCGAGAUGCUGGGUUAAGUCCCGCAACGAGCGCAACCCUUGUCAUUAGUUGCUACGAAAGGGCACCUAAUGAGACUGCCGGUGACAAACCGGAGGAAGGUGUAUUAACGUCGUCCUCAUGGCCCUUGGCGGGUAGGUUUCACACGUCAUACAAUGGUCGAUUGCAGGGCCGCCAACCCGCGAGGGGGGAGCCAACUUCAGAAACCCGAUCGUAGUCCGGAUCGCAGUCUGCAACUCGACUGCGUGAAGCUCUGGAAUCGCUGGGGUAACGCGGACCCAGCAUGCUCGCGGUGAAUACGUUCCGGGUCUUGUACACACCGCCCGUCACACCAUGGGGCGGGUUUUACCAGAAGUAGUUAGCCUAACCGUAAGGAGGGCGAUUACCACGGUAGGAUUCAUGACUGGGGUGAAGUCGUAACAAGGU
rnacentral:misc_RNA from 1 species